rnacentral:rRNA from 1 species
GACGAACCGUGCGAACGUUGUUCGGAAUCAUUGGGCUUAAAGGGCGCGUAGGCGGGUGGACAAGUCAGGGGUGAAAGCCCACGGCUCAACCGUGGAAGUGCCCUUGAUACUGUCCGUCUCGAGGGUGGUAGGGGUAUGCGGAACUAUCGGUGGAGCGGUGAAAUGCGUAGAUAUCUGGAGGAACACCGGUGGCGAAGGCGGCAUCCUGGACCGGUAUUGACGCUGAGGAGCGAAAGCCAGGGAGCAAAGCGGG